rnacentral:lncRNA from 1 species
UUCCCAUCUUUCUUUCCCUCGGUUUCCUUCCUUUUGUUUCCUUCACCUCUGCUUAGCAAGAAUCUAUGCAUUCUCCUCGUAGGAUAAGCAAAGCACCUUUUGCCAUGCUCUUCUUUUAAGGAGGAAUUUGUGACUUCUGAGUAAAAAAAAAAGGAAUUUUCACAGGGAAAAGCAAGAAAGAUACCAAGUCAUGUACGAUAUAAGAGGAGAGACAAAAUCGUAAGGUGGCAUUUGACCUUGAUACCAUGUCACUGCAAAAUGUUGACCUCAAAUCACGUAUGAACUUAGAUUAAGAAUAAAAAUAAACUAAUAGAGCUGCAUUUUAAGUUGGCCUGUUUAGGGAGAGGCGUAGCCCCUUAAAACUAUGCAAUAUUUAAGCUGACUAGCUUGGCUACAAGCUCAACAAAAUUGUCAUGCAUAAAAAUCUUAAUUCAUUAUGACUCUCGAAAUUGAAAUACUGGCUAAAAAACCUAAGAGUAAAUGAUGAAAGAAGAAACUCGCAACUAUAUAUCAAUUAAAUUACAUGAACAAUCCACACUUAUCAUCCAUCCCACAUAAUACACUGCAUAGAUAUCAUAUUUAAGGAACGCGACUUUUAUGAAUUGUAAUGGAAUCAAGCUUGGCCAUAACAGAGCAAAUAAAAUCAUCAUUAGUAUGGGGAAUAAGCAUUUCUCGCAUACAUAGAAAGAGAGAGAAGGACCAUAGACACUUCUUAAGGAAGAGAGAGAGAGAGAGAGAGAGAGAGAGAGAGAGAGAGAGAGAGAGAGAUGAACCGUGUAGAAGAAAGAUGGACCAUGCAAUGACUUCUUGAGGUUAAAACUUAAAGGGACUUUUGUCGAGAAAAGAUGGCACUUGCAGCUACUUCAUGUGAACAUCUUAAAAUGCAAUAGCUCUCAGUGCCAUCUCUCCUGCGACAAGAGCUCCUAUUAAGCUCCAAAUCAAGUCUUCUCCUCUCUCUUUCUUUUUGGAGGGGACAAACUCCUAAAGACUCUCCAAAUGUAUCGAUGUCUACACUACACAAGCCAUAUCCAUCUCACCUUAAUCAUCCAAAUGCGCUCUUAUAUAGAGCUGAGGAGGAUCAUUCCGUCCUUUUCGCUCAUCUUCUUUCUGUCUCUUUUGUCCAAUUUUAAAUUCGGUGAUAGUGAUCGAAGGAAGAAAGAGAGAGAGAGAACCCUGUGCUCCCGGCGACAAUGUCCUACCCUCGUUGAAUUCUCA